rnacentral:lncRNA from 1 species
GGGGCUAGUGGCCUCUUCUAGUUCCUUCCAACCUGGCAGCAGGCAAGCUCCUAUUCUGACACCUGAGCCCUUGUGGUGGGGCCCGUUCUGAGUCAACCAGAGCACAGGCCGGGGAUAGAGGCAAGGAGGCAGCAAUUCAACAGUGAAUUUGGGACCUUUGGAGCAAUCAAGGGGAAGGUGGUGGUGCUGCUGAUGGCGGUGGAGAGCUCUGGACUAAACCUGUCAUGAUGAUCCUGGAUUGUUUUUAUUCCAACCUCCCAGCUGACCUUGGGGACUGGAUAGAUGAUGAUGAUAAAAAUGAUCAUAAUAAUACCUGACUUGGCUGUCUUGAGCUGACUGUCCUGAGCCCCCACUGAGACCACCCAGACUCUGCAAGGGCGAGGAAAAGCAUAAAGUGCUCUCUAUGAAUGCAAGACAGUCUUUUCCUUCCUCCGACGUCAUCCCAUUCUUCUCCCCACUCCAAAAAAGGCAAGCACAGCAGCUGAGCACGCGCACAAGGGCAAGCGGAGGGCCAAGGCGGGCACCACCCCCGGGCAAGGGAGGGUAGACCCCUCCCUGAAGGACCGACUUGACCUGCCCAUCAGGCCUCACCCCCUUCAAAAGAAGCAGCAUCAGGGCCUGGGAGGUCACAUGUGGGAGGCCGAUGCAGCAGCCCCAAGGUUGGAAAGUGGGACUCCAUUCGGAUGCUCCCCACUGUUGCGCCCCCCUCCCUGCAAGGCCUGCCACCACGGGACACAGACCAAGAGGAGAACGAUCUCCAGGCCAAGCAAGCAUCAAGCAGGUGGCUUUUCUUGCAUCUUCAGCAUCCGCCAAAGAUGAGGGUGCGGGUCUGAAUACAUGCUCUGUUAGACCACAGGGCAGCGACCUGCGCUCGGUGAGGAGGUAACAGCGCCCCCAGUGUCCUACAAGGGUCAUCGAUCCUGUUCCUGGACACGAAAGACUGGCCCCUGUUGUGAGGCCAGACAUCCCUCCUCCAUGACUCUUCCUCCUAGUGCAGACUAGCUGGGUUAGAAAUUGUGCUUUCUCUUCCGAGACCUGGUAGUCCGUGUGGGGGCUGAUGCUGGGGAAGCUGGUGGGGGCUCUGGCAGGGGGGCUUGGGCCUGGGUGGCCUGGGGAGUGGAGCCCGUAGGGUCUGCCCCUUCUGGCCCCCGCUGAGAUGCCUGAACCCCAUCCCGGAUCUCUGUCAGCGUCUGGCACAUCUGACCGACACGGCUGGUCAGCUCGGCCAUGGCCUGGCCGAUGACGUGCAUGCUGUUGGCCAUGUCCCGGUGCACGGUCACCAGCUCCUGGCAGAACUGCCGGAACACCUCGGUCUGCUGGGCAUGGACGUGGAGGAGCUGCCAGUCAAGGCCCGUGGUGGGUGGGCUGGGGUGCGGCCGAGGGGUCCUGCAGGCAGCCUGGGCCUGGGGCGAGGGAUGGGGCAGGGCCUCUGGCUUGGGGCCCACCGUCUCAGACUGGUCUGAGGAGGAGGAUGAACGGAGCAGGGCGGGCCUGGCCAGGUGGGCCUCUUCCUCCGGAGACCGCUGCAGAGGCACCCGAAGAGGCUGCCUUGAGGGCCCAGGCGCCUCCUCA